rnacentral:rRNA from 1 species
GACAGAGGUGCCAAGCGUUAGGCGGAAUCACUGGGCUUAAAGCGUGUGUAGGCGGGUGCCUAAGUACCUUGUGAAAUCCCCCGGCUCAACCGGGGAACGGCUGGGUAUACUGGGUGCCUUGGGUCAUCUAGGGGCUGCCGGAACAAAUGGUGGAGCGGUGAAAUGCGUAGAUAUCAUUUGGAACGCCAACGGCGAAAGCAGGCAGCUGGGGAUGCACCGAGCUGAGGAGCGAAAGCGUGGGGAGCAAACAGG